GGCCCCGCACAAGCAGCGGAGCGUGUGGUUUAAUUCGAUGAUACACGAAGAACCUUACCAGGGUUUGACAUGCUAGUGGUAGGGAUCCGAAAGGUGACCGACCCCUCGGGGAGCUAGCACAGGUGCUGCAUGGCUGUCGUCAGCUCGUGUCGUGAGAUGUUCGGUUAAGUCCGCUAACGAGCGCAACCCCUGCUGUGUGUUACAUGUGUCACACGGGACUGCCGGUCUUAAACCGGAGGAAGGUGGGGAUGACGUCAAGUCAGCAUGGCCUUUAUGUCCUGGGCUACACACACGCUACAAUGGCCGGUACAAUAGGUUGCGAAGCCGCGAGGCGGAGCCAAUCCUCAAAGCCGGCCUCAGUUCAGAUUGCAGGCUGCAACCCGCCUGCAUGAAGAUGGAGUUGCUAGUAACCGCAGGUCAGCUAUACUGCGGUGAAUACGUUCCCGGGGCUU
rnacentral:rRNA from 1 species